AUGAUGGCCAGCGGCGGCGGCACGUCACUCGUCUUGAGGCCGCGGCCGGGCUCGGGCGGCGCGCGAGGUUCCUGGGCAGGGGGCAAAGGGGGCGCGUGGGACCGCGGCGUGAGGGCCGUGUGUCUCCCCUGGUGCCUCCUAGGCCGCCCUGGCCUGGAAAAUACUCCGCUGUGCGGAGGAAAGGUCGGAGCCACGGUUCGGGCUGGCAGCGCCGCUGGCCCGGGAGAGUGCUGCUGCUGCGGCCGCCCUAGGGAAGGGGUGAGGAGGAGCUUUCACUUCGGGGUUAACGCCCUGGUGCCUCAGUUAGGAGACUGUAACUGCUGUCGUUGGUGGUGCUUGGCACCUCAGGGGAGUGCGUGUCGUUAGGUAAGAUCACAGGAUGGUUUGGGUUGCAAGGGACUAGACCUUAAAGACCAUCUCAUUCCAGCUCCCUACCCCCACCCCACGCCCCCGGCAUGGGCAGGGACACCUCCCACCAGACCAGGUUUCUCCAAGCCCCAUCCAGCCUGGCCUUAAACACUUCCAGGGAUGGGACAUCCACAACUUCUCUGGGCAACCUGUUCCAGUGCCUCACCACCCUCACGAUAGGAGAAAAGCUCUUUCCAGAGAGAUGGAGAAGGAAUUAAUUAUACCUCUGCUUCACCCUGUGAGACCAGAAGACGUGGAGUAACUGUAAGCUGCGAUUCUCAGGAGACAUACUAAGAGUCUCGGGCUCCUUCUCUGCCUGCCCCCCAAGGCCUUAGGGAUGAGAAAUCUUAGGCUUUAUGUUUUUCCCUAUGAAAUGCUGUCGCGUUAAGGGGCAUAGCUGACUAACUGUUAUAGGUCUGGUUGGAUUCAGGGUACUGAACUACCACAGUCAUAGAUUCACCAGUAACGUAGCAUGCCCUCGCUCUAGUCGCGUUCAAUGAGAACUGUCACGGCUAGGAACAAUGCAAUGAAGGGCAGUUUAUUACAGCAACAAGGACACGGGUUCUUUGGAUUGCCGGCGAUAAAAUCACUGUCCGCAAAAGCAAGCGAGCAUGCAUGAAAUACUCAGGUACUCGUCCUGACUAUUAACGCGUUAAAAGGCACAAAGGCUCUAGAGAUUUCUAAGUUUCCACGGAGACACCUGGUACAACCAAGCAUUCAGAUUUUAUCCCACGACAUCCCAAUGCGGGGGGAAGAGAGGCUCAGCCUGUCAACUGAUCCCAGAAGUCAGAAAGGUAUCCUUUGUGAUGGUAUCUUCCCUAACACCCCUUUCACUUAAGCAAAUCUACGUUACCUGCUGAUCUGUCCUCUUUAGUGACCAGUGAUAGGACCCGCAGGAAUGGUGUCAAGCUGCGGCAGGAGAGGUUCAGGCUAGACAUCAGGAAGAGGUUCUUCACCGAGAGGGUUGUCGCGCACUGUAACGGUCUCCCCAGGGAAGUAGUCACUGCACCAAGCCUGUCGGAGUUUAAGAAGCGUUUGGACUGUGCACCUAGUCACAUGGUCUGAAUUUUUGGGUUGACCUGUGUGGUGCUGGGAGUUGGGCUCGAUGAUCCUUGUGGGUCCCUUCCAACUCGGGAUAUUCUAUGAUUCUGUGAUUAUUUUCUGUCCCUUUUAGGUGGAGCUUGAGUGACUCCAGUCAGGCAUAUCUUGGUUAUGAUUGGUAAAAAGUUUUCUUGCUUUCGUUUAAAGGUACAGGGGUCUGAGGAAUUCAGAGUGCGCCCUCAGUGAGGGGUGGUCGCACCUUGGAGGUACGGAGCUUUUGGGAUGGAGGUGUGUUUUGGUAUUAUAGUGAUGAUAUAACGAGCAAAAGUUCACUAGAGUACAACAUGUUGUCAGAAACAUGACAUGUCGUUGGCUCAGGGUAGCAAACAUGCAGCUUAUCGGUCUCAGUGCGCACAAGAGCAUCGGGUCCCCAUCUUGUCACAGAGCCUAUCCGUGGUGUCUCCACUCCGCUCUACGCUCUGUGCCGUUCCUUAGAGUCAGCACACUGAGUUCCCCUAGUGCGAUAGCAUGUGAAGUUGGACGCCUUGGAAGUCCUGAUCCAUCCAUUCUGAGCAGGAGAUUGUGUUUUGAUGCGAACAUGGAGAAAAUUGAAGCUGCAACCUGAGUGGGAAGGACUGUUCCAAGUGCUCCUGACUACUGAGAUGACAGAAAGAACGGCUGCGAAAGGGUGGACUCAUACCUGGGUAAAAGCAUCAGUUAACCCUGAUACCUGAGAGACUGCAUUAACACAGACCUUUAAGGUUAAAAGUGUUAAAACUAUCCAUUGUAAACCUUUAACUUCUCCUUAGAAGAAUUCUUAAUGAAUUAAUGAGUAAAAGGGAUUGAAUUACACAGAAUUGGAGUGUUUACAGGGAACACUCCCUGGAAGUGGGAGAAGGGGGGGUAUUUAAUCCCCACGAGAAGAAUCCUUAUUAGUUUGUGAUGUUUAUUGUUUUUCUUAAUUAUUAUAGGGGUGUGUAUAUAUAUAUAGAGAGAGAAAUUAUGUAUUUUAAGUUUACCUUAGUAAUACCUAUUCUCAGUCGAUUAGUCAUAGGAUAGAGGGAAAAAUCAGCAUUUCCAAUGAAUCCGUAACAUCACUCGAGUUCUAUCUCGAAGUAAUUGUUGGAUUUGCACGCAUGUGCCUAGAACGACUGAAAAGGCCUUGUCCCUGAUUGCUAUUUCCAGCAGCAAAUGUGUCUGGAUUCUCUAGAUUUCUAAAAAUGACAGAUCAUACUCAGUCCUGGGAAGGAAUAGAUUUUGAAGUUGAGCUCCCUGCACAUAAUCCUGGCUACAAUAUACCGUGUUAUCGAAGGUGCCGUUUAAGCAACAGUGAUAGAAACUCAGGGGGCGAUAGUACUGACCCUGGGUGUGGAACUACCCUAACAGGGAAUAAUCCAUACUGUACCAAAUAUGGUAGCCACAGGAAUGCUAAUAUACGUAGCGCACACCAGAUGCAACAUAAGAAUCCUGUAACUGGAUGGCCUGUCCCAAAUGGCAAGGGGUAGUACUGGCUACGUGGCAAUAAAGCCAGGAGGGUGUUGCCCCUGGGAUGGAAGGGAGCUUGCACCCUGGAGGCAGUAAUUCCAAAUAUAACUAUUAUUGAAGACCCACAAAGCCAAAGCCCCCUUGAGACCACACGCAGGAUUAAGCCAACUCCAGAUAAUUCUCUAGUAAAAUUCUCUAGUAUUUCACAGCUUUGCAAGGUGGUUUUUACCUUGGUUAGGGGUGGGUGAAUUAGAAAAAGCUAUUGUAAAUAUCUCUGCUAUGACUGAAGAACUAGAAAAUAAGUUUGAUAAGUUUGCAAAAAUAGUACUGUAGAAUCGAAUAGUAUUAGAUUCAUUAAUAACCUCAUAAGGAGGAGCGUGCACUGUAAUUAAUGCUAGUUGCUGUAUAUAUGUAGAUCAAAUGGGACGAAUUUGGCUGAUAUUUGGGGGAAAUAUUUGGGGGAAAAAAAGUAUUUGGGGAAAAAAAAAAAAGAGAUCCUACUUAGAGUAGCUCAAGAUAACAAUUCCUGGGCAUUUAGAAACAUUUGGGAGGAACUAACUGUGUGGUUACCUGAAUAGAAUUGGCUCAAACAACUGUUUGUUGGUAUUGUAAUAGUAAUGGCAUUGUAUAUCUAUAAUCCCCCGUGACAUCUGAAGAAGAAUAUUGCACCUUAAUGUUUGAAACCUGUUGGAAAGUUGUGUAAACGCAUAAAGCUGUGACUGGC